rfam:Lyngbya sp. PCC 8106 1099428180522, whole genome shotgun sequence.
GGAAAAUGGUUAAUAUUAGCCCUUUAUAUCAGUAAUGAUAUAAAUGCACCUCCUGAAUUGCUGGGAAACCCUAAAGCUGUUUUAACGACAACAUAACUAGAAAUAGUCAGUGUGAACGUUUAAAAAUAAAACAGAUGAAACAAUGGGUGAUCAGCAGCCGAGAUUCUGUUAAAUGAAUCAGGUUCAACGACUAUUCCAAACGGAAGUACACUCAAGCGAGUGGAAGUAGGAGGUAUCCUGUAGUCAAAUCUCUAAAUUAUUACAGGAUAAAGAUAUAGUCUGGUCUUACAUGAAAGUGUAAG